CUAGGGGAAAGCAACCAUGAUGGGCAUGGAAUGAUUGUGUGAGUUCACAGAAGAGAGGAUUUCAGAGAGGGUGCAAGAUACGACCAAAUAUUGACACCGCUUCACCUCUACUCCAAAUAAUGCUUCUGUGCUACUUUUUAGACAUCUUAUUCUACACUUACAAGUGCGAUACAAUGAGAUUACAAGAAUGUGCUGAAACAAAACAUGAAUAGCAAGACUCAAAUCCGGCAGCCUGAUUUCUGCAAGGUAUUUUUCUCUCCAAAGGAGACAAAGGCACUGAGACACCGAGCUGACUAACUACCUGAUUCUUCAAAAGCAAUGAGAUGACCUGUGAAAACUGAAGGCAAUUUGGAGGGCAUUUUUAAGUUCCGUGGAGCCACUGGAGAAAUGUAUACAGGAAUGAUGACUUAAAAU